rnacentral:rRNA from 1 species
GAUGAACGCUGGCGGCGUGCCUAACACAUGCAAGUCGAACGGAGUCCAGCCUUUAAGACCUUCGGGUCAAAGAGGGGAAGACUGAGUGGCGGACGGGUGAGUAACACGUGGGCACCUGGCUCAUAGAGGGGGAUAACAGAGAGAAAUUUCUGCUAAUACCGCAUAAGCACACACUGCCGCAUGGCAGAGGGUGAAAAGAGAAUCGCUAUGAGAUGGACCCGCGUCUGAUUAGCCAGUUGGCAGGGUAAGAGCCUACCAAAGCGACGAUCAGUAGCCGAUCUGAGAGGAUGAACGGCCACAUUGGGACUGAGACACGGCCCAAACUCCUACGGGAGGCAGCAGUGGGGGAUAUUGCACAAUGGGGGGAACCCUGAUGCAGCGACGCCGCGUGAGUGAAGAAGUAUUUCGGUAUGUAAAGCUCUAUCAGCAGGGAAGAUAAUGACAGUACCUGAAUAAGAAGCCCCGGCUAACUACGUG